rnacentral:lncRNA from 1 species
CAUUUUUCUAUUUUAAAAAAGAUAGAUUUAUAACAACAAAUGAAUGCUUUUUUAUUCAAGAAAAAAAAUGACUGGAAGUAAGUAUGCCAAGAUGUUAAUAGUAGAUAAUUCUGGGUGUGGCAGUUAUAGAUGACUUUAUUUCUUCUUUGUUCAUUUCUGAAUUUUAAAAGAACCUUCAAAAUAAAAAAAAACUAAACUAGGCAAGUAAAGAUUCAUAAAAACUGGGACAGACAUCCUUCAAUGAAACGACACUUUUAGUGGCAGGAACUCCUCUCAGGGUGAUCAAUGGUCCCAGUUUGCCCAGAUUGUCCUGGUUUUAGCACUGAAUGUCUUGCUUCUAGGAUGGCUGGCCACCCUACCUCCUUAUGGUUCAAAUGACUAUGGUGAUGCAUCAGGAAAGCUUUUGAUUCUAGGACAACAAUAAUAAGGUUUUUUUGUGUGUGCCUCAGAAUCCCCCAAGAAACUUGUUAAAUAAGCAGAUUCCUGGGUUCCAAGCCUGGAGAUUCUGGUCUGGGAAGUCUGGGAUGAGGCUUAGGAGAGGGCAUGUUUAAGCAUCCCAGGUAAUUCUCAAGCCUUGGACUGUUUCAGAGCUCCUUCAGCAGUCUUCCUGGCUUCCUCCUUCAUUUCCUCUUCUCUGCAUUUCCGGGGUCAUCUGAAACCCUCCCUAAGCAUUUGUGCUACUGGGAGCCUCCUGCUGUGUGUUUACUGCUGGCCAUCUGCCUGGAGCGCUGCCACCUCUCCUAGCUCACUGCAAACAAAAAGUAAUGGGAGGAACUCGACAGAUCCCAUGCCCUCCCGCCAGGAAAAUACUGGUAGCUCAACUUAGACCUAAAUUCACGUUCAAGAUUCCCUGUCAGCACUCAUUCUAAAGAAAGUUUAAACCAGUGACAUACAGGAAUGAAAAAAAAACCCCAUUCUACAGAAAUGACACACAGAUCUUUCCAAUUCUUCCUCAUGCCUCACUUACAUUCUACCAUCCUUAAACACCAUCUGUAGCAAAUAUUAUCCUGGAAAUUAAAAAAAGACCUAUUACCCCAUCCUAUACAUUUACUUCCAUAUGAACAUAAGUCUGAGGUGUUAAUUCUCUCUCCUGGACACAAUUCAAAAGAAAGUAGGUUUCUUCAGUGUAUCUAUUUGGUCCAAUUACUUCUAAAAUAUGGCACACUGCUUUAUGUCAGCUGUUUUUCAUUAAUAUGUGCAUCAGGCUCCCAUUUUUGGUGGCUCUCAGCCCAGUGCUUCUCAAACUUUAAUGUGCCUAAGAAUCACCUGGGGAUCUUGUAAAAAUGCAGGUUCUGAAUCAGCAGGACUAGGGUGGGACUUGAGAUUCUGAAUUUCUAACAAGUUCCCCUCUGAGGCCCAGGUUGCUGGUUCCCGGACCACACAUGAGUAGGAAGGGUACUUGACAAGCCAAAGUUUGGUCCCUAUGUCUAUAUUUGCCUCUAAUAAAAUUAAAGCAAAGUGAGCAUUUGUUCCUACCACAGGGCUUAAUCUGCUGUGAUAUAUUUUCUUGAGUUUACAGGAAAUUUAUAGUGUACCCCCCACCUCUGACCAGGAGUGAGUCAGCAAAUUGUAAAGCCAAAUCCUUUUUCGUUGUAAAUUCUUAUGUUUGCUGUUUACUGAUCUGCAAACAAUCAGGGUUAAAGUAUAAGCAAAAUAGGUAUAUAAGAAAAGUACAUAUGUGAAAAGGGAAAUGUCUGAAGAAGUCAAGAAAAUGAUCUUAAUUAUAAAAAUAAGUAGACGUUUAACGUGAGAAAAAUGCAAAUGGCGACUAGCUUUGGAAGAUACCUUUUAUUACAUCAAAUCUGAAAAUUAUUGUCAGCUCCAAGGAUGGAGCUUUUAACUUCAGGGGGAAUGAGGAAAUUUAAAAAGGCAGCUGUGAUAAUGUCUUUAUGGUCUUGAAUCUGUUGGGGCUCAGAAAACAAUACCCCAAAAGAUGACACUUUGACAUGCUGAACUAAAGAAGCAGGCUCACGGUUUCUCUGACCACCCCCACCACAUAUCUCUCAGUCCUCUCUCUCCCAAAGAUGAGGCUGUUCAAGUACCCUGAUCUAACUAGAAACUGGACCCACCAAAGAGAAGCACAAAUGCCUCUGAUCUCCUCUCUGAAAUUUCAUUAACCAGAGAAGACUAAAAUUUACAGAAGAAGAGACUGAAAAUUAAACACCACAACUACAGCACAGAAGAACUUCCUCCCAAACUAGUUUUCCUUCUCAGACCAUUCAGUUCCCAAAGAGAAUCAUUUACUAUCCCAUUUCUGAGCACUGGGCCCAUUCAUUUCCCCUAAAAUUCAUUUACUACCCCUCAAAAAUGGCCACAUUUCCCCCAUGUCCCUCCACUAUGAAGAAGGGUUUGUAUGCAUCAAGACCACACUGGGUUGUUAGGUAAUCAUCCUCCUGCCAUUCCCCAUGCUUCUGCACCUUAAAUAAAUAUAAUAUGUAGGCCUUUUUAUGCCUGCUAAUCUGUCAAUUGUCAGGUCGUUUUCAAGGCAGCUUCAGCGGGUGAAAGGGAAGCCUUCCUUUCUUCCCUACAAAUUCAGCUGAGCAUAAAGUUUGGAAGGCAAACACCAGAGAGUAAUUUUACAUUUAUUAAUUGUCCAAGACCUGGAAUGAAAUAACCUCUGUGUUAUUAUUAUUUAUGCUCUGUGAGUAACACUGAGAAGAACUAUUGAGGUAAAGCUCAAAAAAGUUUCGAGGUACAUACACAGCAUUAUUUUAAAAAUUAUGUCACAUUACAUAUAAAAUAGAAAAUCAGCCUGAGAGAAUGCACAGCAAAAGGCCAACAGUAAUUGUCUCUCGAUGAUGGGAUUGUGUUUACCUUUGAUUAUUGCUCUUUUGACAUUUUUGACAAUGAAAAUAUAUUAUUUUUAUAAUAAAAAAUAAAAAGUUAAUUUUUAACAACUGUUAUGCCAAAAUAGAUAUGCAUAGAGAUAGCAGAUAGCAUUUCCCUUCAAGAAAUAUUUCUUUCAAUAGCAAUUCUUUUAUGUAUUUCCUUUGAUUAUGCUCCAUACAAUUCUUUUCUAUUUAUUUCUGGGAUCAUAUGAACAUUAUAGCCAUAAUUACACUUUAAAGUGUUAAAUGAAAUUUGAGUAACUAGAAUCUUUAAAUUCCCAAUCAUUCCUCUGUAAUCAAUAUUUUCUAUUUUACAUAUAGCAACUGGCAUUUAUGAACUUUAAAAUGUCUCAAGGAUAAAAUGACAAAAGUCCUUUGUCUAUCAGGACUUACAAUGUGCCAAUCAUAGAAGUUCCCCUGUUCUUCAACUGAUCUACAAUGUCAAACUGUUGUGCCUACAGACUCUAGAAGGGCAGAGUUCUUCAUGUGAUUUCUGCAUCCAUUCUACAAUCUCAGUGGCUGACCAUGUACAAUGCAGGAAAUGUUAUACUAAGAGAGGGAAGCAUGCUGAAAGAGGCUGCAAAAUCACCAGCAUCAGAAACAACUCUAUAGAUACCUUUAAGAUGGUAAUAUUCCAGGUACAGCUAAAAUGAUUCCAACCUCCAGUGGAAUUUCAUAAAUGUGUCCAUUUAAGAAUGUAAUAAUGGGGACAAAACACUGAAAAAUUAUGGCAGCAACAAGGCAGAAGGCAUCUUCGAAGUCAGCAAUUGUUCCUCAUUGUUCUGAAGGGAAACAGGGCACCUAUGAUCAUUGUUAUUCUUAUUUUAGAGAAGGGAAGCUCAGCAAGCUUCAGAGAUGGGAAGCUGCCAAGGGAGCAGAAAGAAGGGCUGGGACCAGCAUCUGGACUUGGACUCUCAGAAGGCAGAUUUAAGCUCCACUGAGGACACAGUGGAGACGAGGGAUAGAAAGAACGCAAAGUAAUGUAUUUUCUGUCACAGAAAGGGUCAAUCUGAGGUCAGAGACCAAGCCCACAGUACAAGGAUGGGAGUGGAGAAAGACCCUGAACUCUAACUCUGCAUUUAUUCUACACCAGAAUUUAUAUAAUAAAUAAAUAAUCCCUACUGCUGUUCAAAACAAUUUCUGCAAGAUCUGUAGAUCCUCUAAUUCAAAUUUAGUUUACAGGGUUUUCACAUAAAUUUAAAAAUUUUAUGCUUUUUUUUCCAUUAGGUGGAAAAUCUUAAUUCCUAAUCACACCAAUAUAACUCUAAUAGUAAGACCGCUGAAUCCAAUUUAAACAUUCUUAGCAUUUUUUUGUCCUUAAGAGUAUAUGUAAUUGAGAAUGUUCAGUGAAAAAUAUGAUGUUCUAGGGUCAGCUGGAAUAAUUCUUUUCUCUCUGUGGUUAUGCUACUCACAAUGUACAAUUAGGUCAUGUGUUUCUUUUUUCUCAUUUUACAUGUAUGUGGUGGAGGGAAGUGCUUUUUUUGGAUGUAAUUUGUUUUAUGGAUUAUAUCAAAACGUUACAUAAUUCCAAAAUUAAACUACAUAUC